CGGGAGGCAGCAGUGAGGAAUAUUGGACAAUGGGCGGGAGCCUGAUCCAGCCAUGCCGCGUGCAGGAUGACGGCCCUAUGGGUUGUAAACUGCUUUUAUACGGGAAGAAACGCACCUACGUGUAGGUGUCUGACGUACCGUAAGAAUAAGGACCGGCUAA
rnacentral:rRNA from 1 species